rnacentral:rRNA from 1 species
UAACACCGGCGGCCCGAGUGGUAGCCGCUAUUAUUGGGUCUAAAGGGUCCGUAGCCGGUUCGAUAAGUCCUCUGGGAAAUCUGGUUGCUUAACAAUCAGACUGCCAAGGGAUACUGUCGAACUUGAGACCGGGAGAGGUAAGAGGUACUUCAGGGGGGGCGGUAGAAUGCUAUAAUCCCUGGAGGACCACCUAUGGCGAAGGCUUCUAGCUAGAACGGAUUUGACGGUGAGGGACGAAAGCCAGGGGAGCGAUCCGGAUUAGAUACCCGAGUAGUCCUGGCUGUAAACGCUGCGAGCUAGGUGGUGCAUGUUCUUAGUGGACAUGCGGCGCCUGAGUGAAGACGUUAAGCUCGCCGCCUGGGAAGUAUGGCCGCAAGACUG